rnacentral:lncRNA from 1 species
UCCCAGCACUUUGGGAGACCAUGGUGGGAUCAUCACUUGAGCCCGGGAAUUUGAGACCAGUCUAGGCAACAUGGUGACACCCCUGUCUCUACAAAAAAGAAAAAAGAAAUUAGCCAGGCAUGGUGGCACAUGCUUGUAGCCCUAGCCACUUGGGAGGCUGAGGCAGGAAGAUCCUUCGAGCCCAGGAGUUCAAGGCAGCAGUGAUUUAUGAUCACGCCACCGCACUCCAGCCUGGGUGACAGAGUGAGACCCCGUAUCUAAAAAAAAAAAAAAAAAAAAGUGUACUUCAGGAAACAAGCAAAAUGUCACCCAUGGCUCACACAGUGAAGAACCCAGAGAGAAGAAUCCAGAUUUCCCUCCAUGGAUUACAGUUGACCGUUGAACAACAUGGAGUUGAACUGCAUGAGGCUGCUCGUAUUUUUUUCUGCCUCUGCCACCCCUGAGACAGCAAGAUCAAUCCUUCCUCCUCCUCCUCCUCCUCAGCCGACUCAAAGACCAUGAGGAUGAAG